rnacentral:rRNA from 1 species
UGGGGAAUCUUGCGCAAUGGGCGAAAGCCUGACGCAGCAACGCCGCGUGUGUGAUGAAGGUCUUCGGAUCGUAAAGCACUGUCGCGAGGGACGAAUAAGGGGCGGGUUAACAUCCCGUUCCGAUGACGGUACCUCGAAAGGAAGCACCGGCUAACUCUGUGCCAGCAGCCGCGGUAAUACAGAGGGUGCAAGCGUUGUUCGGAAUUAUUGGGCGUAAAGCGCGUGUAGGCGGCCUAGCAAGUUGGGUGUGAAAGCCCUCGGCUUAACCGAGGAAGUGCGCCCAAAACUACGAGGCUUGAGUGCCGGAGAGGGUGGCGGAAUUCCCGGUGUAGAGGUGAAAUUCGUAGAUAUCGGGAGGAACACCAGUGGCGAAGGCGGCCACCUGGACGGUAACUGACGCUGAGACGCGAAAGCGUGGGGAGCAAACAGGAUUAGAUACCCUGGUAGUCCACGCUGUAAACGAUGAGCGCUAGGUGUUGUGGGUGUUGACCCCCGCAGUGCCGCAGCUAACGCAUUAAGCGCUCCGCCUGGGAAGUACGGCCGCAAGGCUAA